rnacentral:rRNA from 1 species
GACGAACGCUGGCGGCGUGCCUAACACAUGCAAGUCGAACGGAAGGGCCCUGAGUUUGUGGGGUUCUCGAGUGCCGAACGGGUGAGUAACACGUGUGUAACCUGCCCUUGACUUUGGGAGAACUUCAGGAAACGGGGGCUAAUAUCGGAUAGGAUCUCCUGCACCGUGGUGGGCAUUGGAAAGUUUCGGCGGUUGGGGAUGGACUGGCGGCUUAUGAGCUUGUUGGUGGGGUAGGGGCUGACCAAGGCUUUGACGGGUAGGCGGCAUGGGAGGGUGACCGGCGACAUUGGGACUGAGAGAGGGCGCAGACGCGUACGGGAGGCAGCAGUGGGGAAUAUUGCACAGUGGGCGGAAGCCUGAUGCAGCAGCACCGCGUGCGGGAUGACGGCCUUCGGGGUGUAAACCGCUGUCGCCUGUGACGAAGCGUGAGUGACGGUAAUGGGUAAAGAAGCACCGGCUAACUACGUG